AUAUUAAGUUUCUUGGAGACGUUUCCUGACUUUGGAACUACCAUCAGGCAUACUUGACUAUCCCAAGGUGUGGUCUUUUCUGUUUCAGCUCUGGUUAUUUCAUUUCACAAGCCUCAAGCUUUUCGGACUUAUCAGUAGGCCAUACCUAAACUAGCCUGUGUAUCUUAGUAACCUUCCCACUUCCACUGUUGCUCAAGUAAAACCAUGCUGUUACACGCACCAGCUUGUCCAUUAAUUCCUCUUUUCCUGUGACUUUUUCACCAAACUGAACAUAUCCCAACUUCUUUCCAGGCCACUUGAUUGCUCCUGGAGUUUGUGCAUCAUUAUCACCCGAGUGGCCUUCUUAAGUAAAAAACCAGAUCCUGGGCUACCCUACAGCUGGACCUUUGCAAUCAGACAAACUAGGCACGUUUCA
rnacentral:lncRNA from 1 species